GCGAUCGGGAAGAAUUUUCGGAUGGAGUCCGGAUCGACUGAGUGGCGGACGGGUGAGUAACGCGUGGGUAACCUGCCUCAUACAGGGGGAUAACAGUUAGAAAUGACUGCUAAUACCGCAUAAGCGCACGGAGCCGCAUGGCGCAGUGUGAAAAACUCCGGUGGUAUGGGAUGGAUCCGCGUCUGAUUAGCUAGUUGGCGGGGUAACGGCCCACCAAGGCAGCGAUCAGUAGCCGACCUGAGAGGGUGGCCGGCCACAUUGGGACUGAGACACGGCCCAAACUCCUACGGGAGGCAGCAGUGGGGAAUAUUGCACAAUGGGGGAAACCCUGAUGCAGCAACGCCGCGUGAGUGAAGAAGUAUUUCGGUAUGUAAAGCUCUAUCAGCAGGGAAGAAGAAGGACGGUACCUGACUAAGAAGCCCCGGCUAACUACGUGCCAGCAGCCGCGGUAAUACGUAGGGGGCGAGCGUUAUCCGGAUUUACUGGGUGUAAAGGGAGCGUAGACGGUUUUUCAAGUCUGAAGUGAAAGCCCGCGGCUCAACUGCGGAACGGCUUUGGAAACUGAGGGACUAGAGUGCUGGAGGGGCAGGCGGAAUUCCUGGUGUAGCGGUGAAAUGCGUAGAUAUCAGGAGGAACACCGGUGGCGAAGGCGGCCUGCUGGACAGUAACUGACGUUGAGGCUCGAAAGCGUGGGGAGCAAACAGGAUUAGAUACCCUGGUAGUCCACGCGGUAAACGAUGAAUGCUAGGUGUCGGUGUGCAAAGC
rnacentral:rRNA from 1 species